GACGUAGGAGGCGAGCGUUGUCCGGAGUGACUGGGCGUAAAGCGCGCGCAGGCGGCCGGCGCGGCCCGCGGUGAAAUCCCCCGGCUCAACCGGGGUAGGUCCGCGGGGACCGGUCGGCUGGAGGGCGGUAGAGGCCGGUGGAAUUCCCGGUGUAGUGGUGAAAUGCGUAGAGCCCGGGAGGAACACCAGUGGCGCAGGCGGCCGGCUGGGCCGUCCCUGACGCUGAGGCGCGAAGGCCGGGGGAGCGAACGGG
rnacentral:rRNA from 1 species